rnacentral:lncRNA from 10 species
CGAGCCGCGACGGGCGAGGGGCGGACAUUCGUGGCGAAUGGGACCCUUCUUCUCGUCCCGCCCGCGGGGGCCCCUUGUCUCUCCUCUUCCUCGCCUGCGGGUGUCUUUCAUCUGAGUGACAUUAGAAAUUCUCAAUACAACUGGUAUUGUGCCCAGCUAAAUCCAUCUGAUUUUUACUUUUAAAAAUGAAAUACUAGGCUUUAGAAUUUCACCAUAUGAAUUUUGGGAGAGAGGAGCACAGUUCAGCCCAUAACUAACACACGACGGAAUGAAGUUGAUAAUAGUGAGACCUUGUUGGUACAAGACUAUGUAACAUAACCUGCGCUUCUCAACAAAGAAUUGCUUUUCUGACUUCUGCACUCAAUAGCAAGACAAAUCUCUCCUCUGCCUUCUCCUUAUCAGACUACUCAACAUGAAGGCAAUAAGAAUGAAGACCUCUAUGUAUAAUAAUUGACUUCCACUUAAUAAAUAAGGUUACUUGGUACACUGGUCGACAAAACCUUGAAAUGUUGAUGUUUAAGGGCUGUUGAUUGCUGGCAGCAAAGAAGUCCAACUGUGCUGGUACCCGAGAUAGCGUCUCCACAUUUUCUUCCAGGAUCAUCACCUUUGUUCUAAAUAGCUCCCACAUAGUGUGAACAGAAGUCAUAUGUUUUAGAUUUUCUGCCUUGGCA